UGGCGGACGGGUGAGUAACGCGUGGGUAACCUGCCUCAUACAGGGGGAUAACAGUUAGAAAUGACUGCUAAUACCGCAUAAGACCACAGUACCGCAUGGUACAGGGGUAAAAACUCCGGUGGUAUGAGAUGGACCCGCGUCUGAUUAGCUGGUUGGCAGGGUAACGGCCUACCAAGGCGACGAUCAGUAGCCGGUCUGAGAGGAUGAACGGCCACAUUGGAACUGAGACACGGUCCAA
rnacentral:rRNA from 1 species